CUUUGACUAGAAAUUGCUAUGAUGACCAAAUUGAUGGGCAUGUCUGUGCCCAAAUCAAAGUGUCAAAAUGUCACUUUUAUGGCAAAUUUAUUUAGUGUGCUUGGUAGUCACAUGAAAAAGGGGGUGCUCACUGAAAGCGGCUUAUCUUUUCCAGAUGGUUUGGUGGAAAGUCUUCAACCAAAGCCGUGUUCCAUCAGAGGAACCUGUGUAGCCCAUGCCCGUCCCCUCAUACCUUCCCCGACACCAGAUCAUUGAACACAGAAUCUUCGUCUCAACACAAGCUCCAUCAGUCAGUCAUUCAGUCAGGCGACAAGCAGGGGAAGGCAGGGUUCAGGCAGCCUCAGGGCGCAGAGGGAGUGAGAUCAGGCUGGGAGGGAGAGCUGGGUGCCUUCCUGCUCUGCACUGGCUGGGACACUGUGGUGGGCUGAACCAUGGCCCCCAAAGAUACCAAGUCCUCAUCCACGGAACCAUGCCCAUGUCCUUAUAUGUCAACAUCUUUGAAGAUUUUAUUAAAUUAAGGCUCUUGAGAUGGGCAGAUUAUCCUGGAUUAUCCUGAAUUAUCUGGGUGGGCCCUAAAUGAUAUCCUAUGUGUCCUUACUCAAGGGAGGCAGAGGGAGAUUUGACAUACACAGAGGAGGAGGCCAUGUGAGGACUGAGGCCACCUCAAGUGAAAGGACCGGGGCAGCCACCAGAAGCUGCAAGAGGCCAAAAAGGAGCCUCCCCUGGAGCCUUUGGAGGGAGCACAGCCCUGCCGACACCUCAGUUUCAGACUUAUAGCCUUCAGGAUGGGGAGAGAAUAAAUUUCUGUUUUUAGAACCACCCAGUUUGUUACAGCAGGAACAUGAAGCUAAUACAGAUACACACUCUUCCUGGUCCCAGGAACGUUCCCUGCCCCUCACCCCCCGCACAUGCACACACGCGUGCACACACACAUGCACACACACACACACACACCCUGAGGUCCCAACAAAGCCUCUGCCUCAGUCACUGCCCCGUCCAUCAGCCUUGAUGAUUCACAGGCGUUCCUGUCCAUUCCAGAGAUACGGGUCUCUUAAUUUCAAACUUUGCAAGUCUCUCUCCCAUCCUCUUAUCUCUUUCUAACUUGUCCGUGGUGUCCAUUGGCAAGAAGUGCUAGUUUUGAUGGAAUCAGAUUUGUCAUUGUUUUUUGCCUUAUGGAUUAUGCUUUGGGAUCUUUGUGUAAGAAAUUCUUCCUUGCUCAGAUGUUACAAAGAUUCUCCUACACUUGCUUCUAACUUCAAAUUGUUGCCUUUUACAUUCGGGUCUUGAUUCUCUCUGGAGCCACCUCUGCGUGCAGCGUUAAGUCAAGGCCAUGUUUACUUUCUCCAUGUAGUGAUCCAGUGCCCAACACCAUUUCCCACACAGUUGGCUCUUCGCCUCUUGGUGGUAGUGCCCCUGAGUACGAGGUGAGGGUCUCCUACCCCCCAGCCCCACCUCCAGCUUCCUGCCCUCUUGUGCAGUUAGAAGAAACUGUUCUCUGACCAUGAAUUCGUAGGGUCUUCCCAUCAGGUAUUCUCCAUUUUUAUGGUGACUUCACUGUUUGGUGACAUGGGCCUUCUGUUGUAGCGUAGGUUUACUGAGCUUCUCCAAAGAUCUACAUGGCAUUUUGAUAGAGAUGACUUUGGAUUUUUAGCUUAUUUGGGUGAUAUUGUCAUAAAAUUAUCAAACCACCCAAGAGCAGGAUAGCGCUCCAGUCACGCGGUCACCUCAGCGGGGUGAGCCCCACGAGGAAAGUGAGUCCGUGGUAGGGGUGGGUGGGGCGCACUGCCUCUGGGUGAGGACAUGCAUCUUCUGGAUGCUUUUGGCUACAGCUCACCAACUCGGUGGUCCUGGGAUUGGUUAAUUCCCGGGACCAGGGGAGCCCAGGCUCCAGGUCUCUCCUCCACGAUUCUUGCGGCAUUGCCCUCAUAGUGGAAAGAUGCUGAACAACUCCUCCAUCGUCCUGCACGGAGAAGCAUGAGUCCCUCCUGGGGACCCUUUCAAGUAGCCCCCAGAUGUCCCCACCAGCCCCUUGUGACACCCUCAUGUCUCUUUCUCUGGCCUGGGUCCUGUCUCAUCCUGGCUACCCAUCUGGAGCUGGGAGAGGCACCAGGAGGGGGCAAGGGGCAGGCUGCUCGGCCUGGCUUCCUGUUCUCCCUGAUAUCUUAGGACACUGUGAGGUCACAGUGUGGGCAGCCCCAGGUCACAGGCAGCUCUACAUGAUCUCUCUGGCUGGCAGGAGGGAGAGAUCAGCAGGCUAGUUCCAGGAUGGUGGACAUGAGACUGCCCUCACGGCAAUGUGACCCUGGGGCUGCGGGUGGGGAUGACAAGGAUUCCUCCUGACCAGCUGCUGCCAGGCAGGGAAACCCUGUCCCAGAGCAGCCCAGAUCCCUGCAGAGGCUUGGCCCAGACGCAGGGCUUCAAGUGGCCACACUCCGGAGCCUCUCCAAGAUUUUGGAGAGUUUGCCAAAUGCUUAGGGACAGUGAAGGGGCUCCUUCUUGGUCACUGCCUGGGGUUCCCACAUCCCCCAUCCUUUGGCCCAGCCCCAAUCCACCCUGUUAUCUUGGGAUGACAGGGGGCCUGAGAGCACCCUGGACGUGAGGUCUGAGUUCUCUGAAGCCCAGACUGGGGCCAACCUUUGACGGGGGCUAGGGUUGGGAGCCGCCUCUGGGACUCUCAGUCAAGGGGGGGUGGGGAGAAGGCUGCCCCUGAGAUGCUGAGUCCGUGGGGGAGGGGGCUGCAUCAGGCAAUCUGGGUUUUGGUGCCCUCUGGUGGACGCUGGGGCACCCUACAGACCACUUUUCAGGCACAGGAGACAACUGAACACUCAGGAGACUGAGGGGUGGGGCAGUCCUGGGUUUGUCCCAAUAUCAAUGCUGAAAAGCAGGGUGACCCUGAAGUCACUCUGCCCUCUGAUCCUCAGUCUUCUCAUCUGUAAAAAUGGUGACAGAUCCAUUUCAAAAUGUUGUCAGGGAGGAGACAGAGCAGAUGAGACUAUGCAAGUGACACAGCAACGACAGUUCCCUCCUCUGUCUCCCAGACAGACAGACAGAGGGGCUGAGUCCCACAAGCAGAGGGUCACGCCAUCCUGGCCAGUCCCCUCCAUCCUCUGCCAGCAGCUGCCAGGGCAACCGUCCCACAACGGGGUCACCCUUGAUGGAAGCCCUUCAGUUCCAGCUGCCACAGGACCAGGGUCCAAGCCUCUGGCCUGGACAAGGGCUUGUGAGAACUCGUCUGACCCCACCAUUCCCUGCCCCUCUACCCAGCCUCAGCCAUGCCGACCCACCUCUGGCUCCCACCUCCUGGCCUUCACCCCAGCUGAUUUCUCCCGUCAUUCCCUCCCUACCCUUCCUUUGUCCUCUGGCAAAUUCCUACCCUCCUUCUCACCUGACGGGAAUGGGGCGUCUGUCCCUCCUUUGAGAAGACUUCCUGGACCCCACUCCUCCAACCCUUGACAAGAGUGCCAAGACAAUUCAAUGGGGGAGAGAAUAGUUGUUCAACGCACAGUGCUGAGAUAACUGGAGAGCCAUGUGCAAAAGAAUGAAGUUGAGCCCUACCCCACGUCAUAUCCAAAAUUACCCCUGACGGUGUCCAGUGGAGCAGCUAAAACUAUAAAACUCUUAGAAGAAAACAGGAGCACAUCUUCAUAAUUUUGGAGUUGGCAAUCAUAUCUUAGAUAUGACACUAAAAGUGCGAGCAACAAAAGAAAAAGAUAAGUUUAAAAUUUUUGUGCUUCAAAGGACACCAUCGAGAAAGUGAAAAGACAAUCUACCAAAUGGGAUAAAAUUUUUGCAAAUCACAUAUCUUUUAGGGACUUGAAUCUAGAAUAUAUGAAGAACUCUUACAACUCAGCAAUAAAAAGACAAACAACCAAAUUAAAAAUGGGCAAAGGAUCUGAGUAGACAAUUCUCAAAGAAGAUACACAAAUGGCCCCUCAGGGAACAGGAAAAGAUGCUCAACAUCAUUAGCCAUCAGGGAAGUGCAAACCAAAAUCACAAUGAGAUGCCAUUUCAUACCCACUACGAUGGCUAUCAUGCAAAAGUUAGACAAUGAAAAGUGUUGAUGAGGAUGUAGAGAAAUUGACACCCUCAUAUAUUACUGGUGAGAAUGUAAAAUGGUGCAACCAUUUUGGAAAAAUAGUCUAGUUUCUCAGAGAGUUAAACAUGGAGUUCCAUUUGAUCCAGCAAUUCCAUGCCUAAGUAGAACACAGGAGGACUGAAAACACAGGGCCACACGCAAAUUUGCACACAAAAGUUCACAGCAGCAUUAUUCAUAAUAGCCCCAAAGUGGAAACAACUCAAAUGUCCGUCAGUGGAUGAAUGGAUAAACAAAGCAUGGACUAUCCAUAUAAUGGAAUACUGUUCAGCUCUAAAAAGGAAUAAAAUACUGAUACAUGUCACGAUAUCGACGAACCGUGAAACAUGAUGCUAAGCGAAAGAAGCAAAUCACAAAAGACCACAUAUUACACAAUUCAGUUAGAAAAAUGUCCAGAAGAGGCACAUCUAUACAAACAGAAAGUAGAGUAGCAGUUGCUUAGGGCUGGGGGGAGGGUGGGGAAGAGGGAUUGGGGUUAAUAGCUGAAGGGUACGGGGUCUCUUUCUAGGGUAAUGAAAAUGUUCUAGAAUUUAUUGUGGUGUGGCUGCACGAGUCUGCGAAUAUACCAAAAGCCAUCAAAUGGUGCAUUAAAGUUAA
rnacentral:lncRNA from 1 species